CCUUCGCCUUGGCAACCUACUGCUCUGAUCCCCCUUGGCCGCUGCUUGGUUAAAGUUGGGCGCAGGGUUCCCCAGAAAGCCCGUUCUGGCCCAGACAGCAACAACGCGUUUUGUCCCUGGGGGUGUGCGUCCCUUCCACGUGCUUUUUAUAGAUCAACUUACAGGCUUCUUCCUUCCCUCCCCUGCAGCCACAAACAGCAUCAUCUGCUUCCAGCGAUGGUUAACCCGGGCCCAGCAGCAGCCGACGGGUCAGACUCACAGUCCCCUCCCAACAACCUGCACCCCACAAACCCCAGCAGGGUUCUGUGUUAAAUUUGACAGUUGCACUCUGAUCACUAUGAAGUCAGCUUGAGUUGUUCUGAAGUGCUACCAGCUUCAGUAAGCCUCGGAUACAGAUACUACCAUUGGUAAUAUCAGGUGACUGACUGAAGUCAAGGGUUGCUGGAGCAGAGAAUUAAAUUCUGGAGUGGAAUUCUCCCACUCACCUCCAAAAAAACCCUAUAACCAAAACCACAGGAAAAUAAGGUUACUCCUGUCUGUAAGAAGGAAAAACAUGCUGUUACUGAGGUGGGGAUGUAACACAGUCAUAAACAAACACACGUGUUACAUUCAGUUACUUAAAAAAGCCACGCUAAACAGCACAGAGUUUACUGCAAGGGAGCUGCACCGUCUGGAAGAUUCUUAACUCACACAGGCUGGAUGUGAUCCCUGGAUCUAGCUGCAAGAUUCUAGCCAGGUUUUGGUUGUAAACCCCUUGAGAGACUUCAGAAGAUCCUGGGUUGUGUCACUGGGCACACUUCAAGACGGGAUGAGCACCUGGCAUUCUCAAUACGGUACCAGUCCAGUGGCAGGUAUUUGCAUUCUGACUGUGCCGCAGCAUUAGAGCAGCCUGCGAGCAUAGCUGCGAGGCAGGAACGCACUGCAGGCAUUCAAGUAGUGCACAAGUCACAGAGGCAUGGAUAACCAUAAUGAAAUCCAGGUCCAAAGCUGUAAACACCAAACCAACUGAGAGCUUUGUUUCUGGAAUUCAGAAACAGCAAGGCUUUGGAAGGCUUUUGAAACUCUGUCUGGGGCAAAGACUGGGAAGUAAAAAGCUGCUCAUUCGUCCUGACAGAUUCAAUCAGUUCUCUCUGCUUGCCUUCCCUGUAGCAAACUGAAGUCACAGAUGCCAUAUGGUCAGUGAAAAAAAAAAGGAUUAGGAAGAUACAUCAUGUGCUGAUGACACCAAAACCAAAAGUACUUUUAGAAACCAUAAAGGCUUGUCAUGCAGAAAACAGAGACAAGAAAAUAGCCUGAGAAAUCUCAGAUAUUCUAUAGAGCAGAAAACAACUACUGUUCCCAACCUCUCAGAAAGAAAAGAUUGGCAAAUUAAGCACUACACUGCACGCUCCUGACCAUAAAGACCACAUGCUGUGA